rnacentral:lncRNA from 1 species
AUGUCCCACCUGGCAGCUCCUGGGUUCCAGGCCCAGCUCCGGCUCCAGCCCCACCUGCCUGCCAGUGCACACUGGGAAGCAAAGAUGAUGGCUCACGUAGUUGAGUGCCUGUCACCCACAUGGCAGCUGUGGACUGAGUUCACAGCUCUGAGUCUGGACCUGGCCCAGACCAUGCUCAUGCAGGCAUUGGGGAAGGAACCAGCAGGUGAGAGCACGCUCUUUCUGUCUCACUCUCUGUUUCGCUCUGUCUCACUCUGUCUUACUCUCUCUGUCUCAUUCUCUCUCUCUCACUCUCUGUCUCAUUCUCUGUCUUGCUCUCACUCUGUCUCACUCUCUCUCUGUCUCUGUUUCUGUCUCCAUCUCACUCUGUCUCGCUCUCUCUCUGUCUCUAUAUAUCAUUCUCUGUCUCUGUGUCUCACUCUCUCUGUAUCACUCUCUGUCUCACUCUCUCUGUCUCUGUCUCUCUGUCUCACUCUCUCUCCGUUUUACUCUCUCUGCCUCGCUCUCUGUCUCAUUUUCUCUCUGUCUUGCUCUCUCUCUGUCUCACUCUCUGUGUAUGUGUGUGUCUCACUCUCUCAGUCUCUCUCUCUCUCACUCUCUCUGUCUCACUCUGUCUUGCUCUCUAUCUCAUUCUCUGUGUCUCGCUCUCUGUCUCGCUCUGUCUCACUCUCUCUGUCUCACUCUCUCUGUCUCUCUCUGUCUCUCUCUCUCUGUCUUGCUCUCUCUCUGUGUCUCACUCUCUGUCCCGCUCUGUCUCUCUCUCUCUUCUCGCUGUCUCUCUCUGUCUCACUCUCUCUGUCUCACUCUCUCUGUCUCGCUCUCUCUGUCUCUCUCUCUGUCUUGCUCUCUCUCUGUGUCUCACUCUCUGUCUUGCUCUGUCUCACUCUCUCUUCCUGCUCUCUGUCUCUCUCUGUCUCACUCUCUCUGUCUUACUCUCUCUCUCCGUGUCUCUCUCUUCUUCCCUGCCCUCCCUGCUUCUCUCCCGUUUCUCUCACUCGUCUGUCUCCUUCUCAAAUUAAAAACAAACAAACAAGUGUCUUGAACUUGGUGGAGGUUAUGUAG